rnacentral:rRNA from 1 species
UACGUAGGGUGCAAGCGUUGUCCGGAAUUAUUGGGCGUAAGGAGCUCGUAGGCGGUCAGUCGCGUCUGCUGUGAAAACUCGGGGCUUAACCCCGGGCCUGCAGUGGGUACGGGCUGACUAGAGUUCGGUAGGGGAGUCUGGAAUUCCUUGUGUAGCGGUGAAAUGCGCAGAUAUCGGAAGGAACACCAGUGGCGAAAGCGGCUUCCUGGUCCAGCACCGACGUUCAGGCACGAAAGCGUGGGGAGCAAACAGG